rnacentral:lncRNA from 1 species
GAAUCUGAAAAACAUAAAAAUCCCUUCAGCUUUAUAUUUAACAUGAUCAAUAGUUACAUGUAACAUUAGAUGGGUGUGUUUGUUUUGUCCACAGGCGUCUCUGGUCCCCUCCCUCUCCUGUGCAGACUCUAUGCUCUCUGCAGGGCACCGGCUCUCCUCAGGUGAGCUGGUCACCUGCGUCCUGCUUUCUGUCUCCACACCUGUCCACACUGAGCGUGCUCCUUAAACUGCCGUCACUGUGGGCUUUAGUGUGUGUGUGUUUCUGUGUGUGUCUGUGUGUGUGUGCGGCUGUGUUGGCGUGUUGGCAGUUGCUGUGAUGGUGGCGACGCCGGAUAGGGACGAGCUAGAGAACCACCGCCGCACUUCGAUGAAGGUGGAGACGGAGCUGCAGGAGGAAGAGGAAGAGGAGAAGGCGGAACUGCAGGAGGAGGAAGAAGAGGAGGAGAAGGCAGAGCUGCAGGAGGAGGAAGAGGAGGAGGAGGAGAAGAUGGAGCUGCAGGAGGAGGAAGAGAAGGCCGAGCUUCAGGAGGAGGAAGAGGAGAAGGCUGAGCUGCAGGAGGAGGAGCAGGAGGUUUCUGAGGAGACGCUGCACCGCUUCAACCUGAGCAUGGACGAGAAGGUGCACAGGUCCAGGUCUGUAUGAAGGAUCAUUAAUGCCGGGAAAAAUAAAAACAUCCUUCUCUGAAAUUGUGUGAACUUUGUUUGUGUUUUCAGUGAGGAGGAAGAGGAGGAGGAGGAAGAGGAGGAGGAAGAGAAGGAAGAGGAGGAAGAAGAGGAAGAAGAGGAAGAAGAGGAAGAAGAAGGCAGCAGCGGUCCACAUCGCGUGACUUCAGAGGAGGCCAAAGCUUCAUGGAGAGAAACUCUCCAGCGACACCUCCACCUGAGAGACGAGCGAGAGGAAGAGGAGGUGGGAAACAGUGAAGUGUCCAGUGACGCAGCAGGAAGUGACAUCACACAAUGUGACACACCUCCGUCUGAGACUCCACCCACCGACGACACGCCCUCCACCACCUCCUUCGUCUCCACGCCUGGCUCCGCCCCAGACGACGACGGGGCUCCACCUAGACCUGUCGUUGUCACGGAAACAGCUACCAGGUGCUCGUUUGAUGACAUCAGCCCCGAUCUGCCGCCGAAUAAGGGGCCAGAUAAAGAGGGGGUGGGGUUAUAUAUAAAGGUGGCAGAGUCUGAGGGGGCAAGGAGGUGGGGGGCAACGGUGCAAGGGGGCGGGGCCACCGCUCUGUGGAGGACCGUGUUCUCUGCAGACAGGAAGGAGAAGAAGAAGACGACGAGGGGCGGGAGUUUAGCUCCAGCCAGUCAGAGCAGAGCUGCAGGUGAUGAAGUCAGAAAGGAACGCUUGUGA